GAUUGAACGCUGGCGGAAUGCUUUACACAUGCAAGUCGAACGGCAGCACGGGGGCAGCCCUGGUGGCGAGUGGCGAACGGGUGAGUAAUACAUCGGAACGUGCCCGGUCGUGGGGGAUAACGUAGCGAAAGUUACGCUAAUACCGCAUACGAUCUGAGGAUGAAAGCGGGGGACCUUCGGGCCUCGCGCGAUCGGCGCGGCCGAUGUCAGAUCAGGUAGUUGGUGGGGUAAAGGCCUACCAAGCCGACGAUCUGUAGCUGGUGUGAGAGGACGACCAGCCACACUGGGACUGAGACACGGCCCAGACUCCUACGGGAGGCAGCAGUGGGGAAUUUUGGACAAUGGGCGCAAGCCUGAUCCAGCCAUUCCGCGUGCAGGACGAAGGCCUUCGGGUUGUAAACUGCUUUUGUACGGAACGAAAAGGCUCUGGCUAAUACCUGGGGCUCAUGACGGUACCGUAAGAAUAAGCACCGGCUAACUACGUG
rnacentral:rRNA from 1 species